rnacentral:rRNA from 1 species
AGUGAACGCUGGCGGCAGGCCUAACACAUGCAAGUCGAACGGUAGCACAGAGGAGCUUGCUCCUUGGGUGACGAGUGGCGGACGGGUGAGGAAUAUAUCGGAAUCUACCCUUUCGUGGGGGAUAACGUAGGGAAACUUACGCUAAUACCGCCUACGAACUGAGGUUGAAAGCGGCGGACCGCAAGGCGUCGCGCGGAUGGAUGAGCCGAUAUCAGAUUAGCUAGUUGGCGGGGUAAAGGCCCACCAAGGCGACGAUCGGUAGCUGGGAUGAGAGGAGGAUCAGCUACAAUGGAACUGAGACACGGUCCAGACUCCUACGGGAGGCAGCAGUGGGGAAUAUUGGACAAUGGGCGCUAGCGUGGUCCAGCCAUGCCGCGUGUGUGAAGAAGGCCUUCGGGUUGUAAAGCACUUUUGUUGGGAAAGAAAUCCUGUCGGUUAAUACCCGGCGGGGCUGACGGUACCCAAAGAAUGAGCACCGGCUAACUUCGUGCCAGCAGCCGCAGUAA